rnacentral:rRNA from 1 species
UACAGAGGGGGCAAGCGUUAUUCGGAAUUAUUGGGCGUAAAGGGCGCGUAGGCGGCUUGGCAAGUGGAUGGUGAAAUCCCUCGGCUUAACCGAGGAACUGCCGUCCAAACUGCUUAGCUUGAGACCGGGAGAGGUGAGUGGAAUUCCCAGUGUAGCGGUGAAAUGCGUAGAUAUUGGGAGGAACACCAGUGGCGAAGGCGGCUCACUGGACCGGUACUGACGCUGAGGCGCGAAAGCGUGGGGAGCAAACGGGG